rnacentral:rRNA from 1 species
CCUACGGGAGACAGCAGUGAGGGAUAUUGGUCAAUGGGGGAAACCCUGAACCAGCAACGCCGCGUGAGGGAAGACGGUUUUCGGAUUUUUAACCUCUUUCCUCUCUGAGGAUAAUUACUGUAGCAGAAGAGUAAUCUCCGUCUAACGACGUUCCAGCAGCCCCAGUUACACGUAGGCAGCAAGCGUUGUCCGGAGUGACUGGGUGUAAUGGGUGCUUAGUCGGACCUGCAAGUCAGAAGUGAAAUCCAUGAGCUUAACCUGUGAACUGCUUUUGAAACUGUAGGGCUUGAGGGAAUUGGAGGCAGGCGGAAUUGCCGGUGUAGCGGUGAAAUGCGUAGAGAUAGGGAGGAACACCAGUGGCGAAGGCGGCCUGCUGGGCUUUAACUGACGCUGAAGCACGAAAGCGUGGGUAGCAAACAGGAUUAGAUACCCCUGUAGUC